CUCGUAGGCGGUCUGUCGCGUCGGAAGUGAAAACCCGGAGUUCAACUCCGGGCCUGCUUUCGAUACGGGCAGACUUGAGUACUGCAGGGGAGACUGGAAUUCCUGGUGUAGCGGUGGAAUGCGCAGAUAUCAGGAGGAACACCGGUGGCGAAGGCGGGUCUCUGGGCAGAAACUGACGCUGAGGAGCGAAAGCGUGGGGAGCGAACA
rnacentral:rRNA from 1 species